rnacentral:rRNA from 1 species
UACGAAGGGGGCUAGCGUUGUUCGGAAUUACUGGGCGUAAGGGACGGCGUAGCGGUGUGUCAAGUCAGGCGUGAAGCCCCGGGCUCAACCUGGGAACAGCGCUUGAGACUGGCACGCUCGAGUUCGGGAGAGGAUGGUGGAAUUCCCAGUGUAGAGGUGAAAUUCGUAGAUAUUGGGAAGAACACCGAUGGCGAAGGCAGCCAUCUGGACCGACACUGACGCUGAGGCGCGAAAGCGUGGGGAGCAAACAGGG